CCCACGGCUACGGGACGGGACAUUGGCCAGCAGAAGCGGGACGUGGACAAAAGGCGGGACUGGGCAGGGAGCUGUCCCUUCGACCCACCUCCGACCCCCGGAGUUGCCACCUGGGAACUACUAGUCCCAAAGUGCACCGCUUCCUUCGCCUGGCCUACAGCCCCAUGCGCAGGCGCCUUGCUAAAUUUCUGUUUGGUGGCGCGCUGCGUCCUGGGACUUGUAGUCCUGUCCUGUAAAGGCCACGCAGGUUCCAGGCGUUCUGAGUUCCGCUGGCCCUUCGGCCAGUCCUCAUAGGUGGGCUUCACAGUCCCUGGGAGUCGUCAGUUAUUUGCCCUUCUCUUCCUGAAAAUGUUUCUCUGAGAGCUGACAGAAUGACACUUGGUCCCCAGACAGGGUUUCUCGGUGGCUUUGGAGGAUGCCCUGGAACUAGCUCUUGAGACCAUCUCAAACUCAUAGAGAUCUGCCUGCUUCUGCCUCCCGAGUACUGGGACUAAAGGCAUGCGCCACUAAUGCCCAUCACUGCUGUUUUCUGCCUGAGUCAGAAACUUUUCUUCCCCACUUAAUAAAGGAUCUCUCUGUGAAGAAAAACAAAAAGACUAUGUCUCUCUAUAUAAAGUUUUAUAACUAUUCACUUAUUUUGCGCGUAGGAGGCAUUGAGCACUCUCUACCUACAAUCUUGCUGUAGGAAUGCUGUGAUUACAGAUGGCACCACCACAG
rnacentral:lncRNA from 1 species